ensembl:lncRNA
CCUCCACUCACUGUUUCCAUGGGUGGGCACCGGAAAGAACAUUUUAAGGAUUGAAACUUUGGAUUACCGCUUUGGACUGUUCCUGAAUGCCUCGUGCAAAAUCAACAAUCAACAAAAUGAAGAGAUUGAUGCCCUGCGAUAACUGUGAUGCAACACCGAGUCGCACUGGACAUGAUUCUGGCUGAAAAAGGAGGACUCUGUAUACUCUUUAACAACACAUGCUGUACGUAUAUUCCAGAUAAUGUUCACUCUUCCAACAUGACCGACGCCUUACGACGCUGAAACAACUCAGGGACGCUCAGCAACAGGACUAUGUCACGAACACUGAAGAUUGGCUUACCUGGCUGUUGAGUGGUUCCUGGAAAUCUCUUUUAAUAAAAGGACUGGUUUUUGUAGGAGUUCUUCUACUCCUACUCUGUUGUUUUACUUCUUGUAUUUUGCCAUGUGCACAAUCAAUGAUUAAUAAAGUUGUUGCAGUCCAUGUGCAGGCAUACCUGACACUGCCCAUGGACGAAGAUGAUGAUAAAUCCCCCUGACACUGAAAUGCUGUGAUACACCAAUGUAUGACGUGUUGAUUAAAAAUGCGCUGCAAGAAAUCAUGCACAGAUAAUAAACCAAUGGUGUUUUAACUAGUGUGAAAGUUAAACAACAGGAGGGAAAUGUGAAAAGAUUUUGUUUAUUAUUCAAAUAUGCUUUGCUUGUGAUUGUGUAAACUCUGAAUGACGAUUCACCCUGAUAAACAUGAAGCUUUGCCUAUGCUUAUCAAAUGCCUGUGAAGACAAGUUCCUGUGCAAAGAGCAACGGAAAAUGCCACUUAAGCAGACGUUUAGUAUAGUACGGACAGAAUGUUUAGUAAGAUAUGCAUUUGUCAGUUAAGCAAUAUAUUCUGAGAACAGGCGGAGACUGCCUCCGUCUGCUGUGUAACCUACAUGCCUAUAUAACCUGCAAUAAAGAAGAGUACUGUGUGACUCUCCCGAGAGUUCACCCAUGUACAUAUGAUUUUUUAUAUUGUCUCAUUGUGUCUCUGUUUUACUUUGGCAGCUUUCUAUUUGGGAAUUUUCCCCUGACAUAAGUGUAACUGGUUAAUUUGGUAAGUAUGUGCUGAGCAAGGCAGAAUAUUGAUCAAGUGGCAC